rnacentral:rRNA from 1 species
CGAACGCUGGCGGCAGGCUUAACACAUGCAAGUCGAACGCCCGAGCAAUCGGGAGUGGCAGACGGGUGAGUAACACGUGGGAACAUACCCUCAGGUUCGGAACAACGCCGGGAAACUGGCGCUAAUACCGGAUACGCCCUGUGAAGGGGAAAGGCUUGCUGCCUGAGGAGUGGCCCGCGUUCGAUUAGCUAGAUGGCGGGGUAACGGCCCACCAUGGCGACGAUCGAUAGCUGGUCUGAGAGGAUGGCCAGCCACAUUGGGACUGAGACACGGCCCAAACUCCUACGGGAGGCAGCAGUGGGGAAUAUUGGACAAUGGGCGCAAGCCUGAUCCAGCCAUGCCGCGUGAGUGAUGAAGGCCUUAGGGUUGUAAAGCUCUUUCGCACGCGACGAUAAUGACGGUAGCGUGAGAAGAAGCCCCGGCUAACUUCGUGCCAGCAGCCGCGGUAAUACGAAGGGGGCUAGCGUUGUUCGGAAUCACUGGGCGUAAAGGGUGCGCAGGCGGGUUCAUAAGUCAGGGGUGAAAUCCCGAGGCUCAACCUCGGAACUGCCUUUGAUACUGUGGAUCUUGAGUCCGGAAGAGGUGAGUGGAAC